CUGAUUUCUCAGAAUAUAGUCUUUAUCAUCGCACAUCUAAUUUGACAUUUUAGUUGAAAAUUGUAAUGCUUCAAAAUAUCUGCCUUUUCUUACUCUGCACAUGUAUUUAUGGGUAUGGUAUCCGUAAGGAAUAUCUGAAGUCCUCCCCCAUUUAUUGUUUUCCUGUUAGUUCAAAAAAAAAAAAAAAAAAAACAAGAAGGAGAAUUUGAGGCUAGUAGUAGUAUUACAUACGAGUUUAUCUUUCUGAUGCAACCUGCUAGGCUUUGUUGAGUUGGAGAUUAUUUUUUUGUUUGCCAGUCUAUUUGUAGAUAAUUUGACAUCAAGUCCUUACUUUGUGAUAACUAUGAGUUUCGAAACGUGAAUUUUCUUUUGAAACAUGUCUCUAAUAGAUAACCAACAAUUGUUAAAUUGUGAUAGUUACAUAAUUCUUCUUAUUUUAUGUUGAUUUCAUCUAAAACUAAGUACAUGGUUAACUUUAGAUCCCUUAGCACAUUUGUAUAGCCAAAUUCAACUCGAUUUUUCAUGGACAUCAAUCACUAGCUAGAUAUGGGAAAUAUUUGAUGCUAGAUUCUUGUCCUCGUGUGGAUGGCCUAGGGAAGUGAUGUAUAGUAGUUUUUUCCCCCCCUGAAGAAAUUGAGUUUUUAUGAAGAAAAAUGAUAGAAUUCCCAAGGACCAACAAGCACGGGUCAACAACAAAAAAACAGAUGGCCUAAAACAAAUAAUAGCCCAAAAAAGGAGUUACGUUAGACCCUAACUUAACAAAACAAGGAAGGUCUCAAUUACAAUAUUAUUUAAAUACAAACGCACCAAGAGAGGCCUUAAACCUCACCAAAACUCCUUCCACUCCCCCUAAAUAUUCUGUUGUUUAUCUCAAUCUAGAUUCACCUUAAAAUAGUAUAAAACUCCACAGAGUGCUGCCCUUAUCCCCAAAAGAUUAUCAUGAUAAGAUGGAAGGUGACACUCUCUGUAAGUCUUGCCAUUUAAAGACUUUGACCUUCUAGGCAAUAUAAGGACUCCCAAUUAUAUAAAGACUUUGACCUUCCAUAAGAAGGAAAAUAAAGGAGAGCCAGAAGGACCACUUAGAAGGGGAAAAAAAAGAACCACGUGAAAAAUCCUUCAAAUGUUUAGGAAGCCAAAAGCAAACAUUCUUACUACAUGGUCCCUCCCAGAAAAGAGGAGAUUGAAGCAGAAACAUACAAGGACUCCCAAUUAUAUAAAGAUGAUACAAGGCGAAAAGUCGAACAAAGAGGAACUUCGCUUCCCUUGGGUUUUUUUGCACACUCUCUAAUUGAGAGGCCUUGUGUCUUCUUUCGACUUUUCAAGGGUGUUGUGUUUUUUGAGGGGGAGGGACGCUAGGUACUGGACCCUAGAUCCAUCUAAUAGAUUAUAUUGCACCUCUUUCUUUAGAUUGCUGUUAGGCCUUCCUCCCCCUUUCUGCCUUUGCUUUCUCCUCUUGAAGAUUCAUAGGAAAGUAUAUUUUUCGAUGUGUCAGGUUUUUCAUGGGAGAGGUAGACCGCAUCUGGAGACAUUCUUUUCUUGUGUUAUUCAUGCAAUGGUGCAUCCAUCCUUUUGAUUGAGGAGGUUCUCCUGAGCUCACCUUUUCGUGAGAAGGGCAUUGUUUUUGUGGCAUGCAAGUUUCUUUGUGGUGUUUGUGGUGGCUCUAGCUUUAGAAGAAUAGUCAAAUUUCUAGAGAGUUUGAGUGGUUUGUGACGAGGCUUGGGUGUUGG